UAGAUAUGUGGAUAUAUAGCUGUAUGUUUGCAUUUGGAUGUACAUUUAUGUAUUUGUGCUUUCUUUUUGCAGACCAAACCCCAAGAUGUCUGGCACAGGGGCAUUUUUCUUCUUUACUAUUUUCAGUAAACAUCUGCAGAGGCUCGGCCUCCCUCUUACCAAAGCCUUGCUCAAGACUGAAUGGAGUGAAGCACAUGUGGCUCAAUCGAUUGGGCUCCUGUCUACCAUACGGAAGGCCCUGGGUUCAUGUCCCAGGGCCUACUUGUGAAGGCAAACUGGCCCACGUCCGCAGAGGGCUGACAGCCUGGGGAGAGCUGGCACAGCAAGAUGAUGCAACAAAAGGAUACAAGCAGACACAGAAGAAUGUGCAGGGAAUGGAUACAGAGAGCAGACAGCAAGCAAGCAGCAAAGGGGGGGGUGAUAAACAAAAAAUAAAUCUUUAAAAAAAAAAGACUGAAUGGAAUCACUGGUAUUCUACUAGAGAUUUAUUGUGAGUCUAGCAAUGGAAGA
rnacentral:lncRNA from 1 species